rnacentral:rRNA from 1 species
GACGAACGCUGGCGGCGUGCCUAACACAUGCAAGUCGAACGGAGAUUUCAGCAAUGAAAUCUUAGUGGCGAACGGGUGAGUAACGCGUAGACAACCUGCCUUUUAGAUGGGGACAACACCGCGAAAGUGGUGCUAAUACCGAAUGUUGUAUUUUAAUCGCAUGAUUAGAAUACGAAAGAUGGCCUCUGUAUAUGCUAUCGCUAAAAAAUGGGUCGUGGUCUGAUUAGCUAGUUGGUGAGGUAAAGGCUCACCAAGGCGACGAUCAGUAGCCGGUCUGAGAGGAUGAACGGCCACACUGGGACUGAGACACGGCCCAGAAUCCUACGGGAGGCAGCAGUGGGGAAUCUUCCGCAAUGGACGAAAGUCUGACGGAGCAACGCCGCGUGAGUGAAGAAGGUUUUCGGAUCGUAAAACUCUGUUUUCAGGGACGAAUGUGCAGAUUGUAAAUAAUGAUUUGUGAUGACGGUACCUGAGUAGAAAGCCACGGCUAACUACGUGCCAGCCGCCGCGGUAA